rnacentral:lncRNA from 1 species
UCCUGAGCGAGUGGGCCUGGUCCAUAGAGGAAGGCUAGCAAGCAGUGUUCUUCCAAGGUUUCUGCUUCAAGUUCCCACUUGAGUUCCUGUCCUGACUUCCUUCAGUGAUGGACUGUGGCUGGAAGUAGUGACAAGGCUAACUUCACAUGUGCAUCAGACGGUGCCUCACUCCCAUGAGAAUAAGGGACAACUACGGCAAGAUGAAUUCUCACAACUGAAGCCAAAACCCAGCUCUCAGCAAAUGCCAUAUAAACAGAAAGGACCCCAUGUGCUAAUGUUGAGUUGUGAAAAACCGACAGCCAUUACCACCUGGGAGAAUUGUCAGAGUAAAAUUUGUGUCAAGCUACAAUAAGGAAAGAAGGAGAAAGCAAUCACGCUGGGAUGCUGUGAAGGAGGGCUUCUCGUGCACAGUACAGCUCAGAACACUCUGCUGGGACCAUGGACUGGCAGAACUUCUCAUUUUUCCUUUGAACUCUGUCUCCCCUGACCUCUCGGUGACAGUUCAUUGCAGCUUGCAAUUUUUUUCUGCAAUGCUCCUUCCAGGCAGGUUUACUAUCUCUGCAGAUUCAUGCUUGUUGUUUGGGUUGGCACAUAAGGGAUGCCUGUCCACAUUGCUGGGACAAUGCACAAUGACAUGAGAUCAUCAAGAAAGGAGGUCAAGCUGCAAGUGACAUGGUGGUUAGAGAUCUAAAGGUAUUUAGAAAGUACCAGAACUAGGAAGUGGACUCACCAGGACUCAGGGACCAUGGUGCCAAUGUGCACAACCAACUGUACUUUUUGUGUUAAAGCCACAAACAACUAGAAAAUGAAAUUCCAAGUAUCAUUCUUUAAAGCAUCAAAAUUUAUUAAAUAUAUUUAGAAAAGUAUCAACAUACAUCAAAUACUUAGGAACAAAUUUAACGACAAUGUUUAUGCCCCAAAUACUGCAUAUAUAAAUUAUCUAAGCAAUGUUGAGGUACAGCUCGACAUAGAAAGGAAGUCUCCAUUUUGGGGUGCCAGUUCUUUCUAAAGGGAUCUACAGAUUUCAUACAAGUACACUAAAAAUCUCCAAGGUCCUUUUGAAAUUGACAAGCUGAUCUUGAACUUCACAUGAAAACUCAAAACUCAUUGAAGAAAAAAGAAACAAAGUUG